rnacentral:rRNA from 1 species
CUACGGGGGGCAGCAGUGGGGAAUAUUGCACAAUGGGCGCAAGCCUGAUGCAGCCAUGCCGCGUGUAUGAAGAAGGCCUUCGGGUUGUAAAGUACUUUCAGCGGGGAGGAAGGGAGUAAAGUUAAUACCUUUGCUCAUUGACGUUACCUGCAGAAGAGGCACCGGCUAACUCCGUGCCAGCAGCCGCGGUAAUACGGAGGGUGCAAGCGUUAAUCGGAAUUACUGGGCGUAAAGCGCACGCAGGCGGUUUGUUAAGUCAGAUGUGAAAUCCCCGGGCUCAACCUGGGAACUGCAUUUGAUACUGGCAAGCUAGAGUCUCGUAGAGGGGGGUAGAAUUCCAGGUGUAGCGGUGAAAUGCGUAGAGAUCUGGAGGAAUACCGGUGGCGAAGGCGGCCCCCUGGACGAAGACUGACGCUCAGGUGCGAAAGCGUGGGGAGCAAACAGGAUUAGAUACCCGUGUAGUC